AGCAAAGACAGCACGCAACUAGCAGAGACACAGAUAUCUGAGAGGAGAGAGAGAGCCGGCAACAGAGCAGAACUGAGCUCUGCAGAGUUUUGGGGCCCAUGGAAAGUGAGAACCACAGUCCCUGUCAGAGGAAUAACUCUCCUGGGCACCCAGAGAGCACACAGAUACUGCCUAGGAACUUCAGUGUGGAAGAAAAAUGUGGAAGACCUUGCAGGUUCUACCUGUAAUGCAAGUAUUCAACUUGAGCCUUUGGGAUCUCUGUCUCAGGGGACAAAAAUCACUUCCCUUCAAAGCACAGGAUUUUGUAAUUUUUCUUUCUUGAAGAAAGGGUCAUAAACUCUCUUCAAGAUGUGGCAGCAACAGCAAAGCAACUGGCUGUUGGUAUGGAAUACCUGGGUGCAGGAUCACCAGGAUGUUCCAGGGGUUCUUUCGGAAAUGUAGAGGUGAGAGGAUUUUUGGUGAUGCAGAAGCACCUGGUCAGAAGCAUGAGCAACCUGGGAUUUCAUCAUGAUAUAGUUCUGAUGUAGGUGAGACAUGGUUGCAAAGGGAAAUAGCUGACUAAAGGCUCCAAAGACCUCUACAAAUCUGCCCUAAACCAUUCUGAGUACUUUCCUUCAACUUCACUUUGAGGUGGAAAAGGCUCUUGUCCAUAGUCCAACUCCUAUGUGGGAGGAAAGAACUCAGCCCAGCCACUGAACUUCCAUGAUGAUAUUUCUCUGUCUUAAGUCAUUGUUUUGUAAGGAAAAUAUCUUCUCCGCCUCUCUUUUACUGUGAGAAGAGCCAGAGGAGAUCCCUGCAAGGUCUGCUGAAGGAGGAGGCAAAAGGGAUACAUGGACAAUCCCUGUACUCUGCACUCACUGCAUUUCUUCUGGCCUGACUGAAUGAAGCACAGCAGGAGGAUGGGAAGCUUCAUGUGGCUACUAAAAUAUCUAAUAAAAAAGACAAUAAUGUUAUCUGAAAAUAAUGAAACUGGUACUGCUGGGAUAUAUUGCAUAAUAUGGUCUGACAGCUUUCAUUCACAGUGUUUUAUACUUGUAAAAUGCCCACUGCCAGUUGGCUCCUGGGCUGCAGACUGCCCAAGAAGACUUUUGUUCCAAAAUGAUAUCUUGGGACUCCUCCAUGACAAGAACUUUUUGGUCAUAUGAUCAGUGAAAAAAAAAAAAAAAAAAGGAUAACAAAGGAGCUCAUUCUACACAGAAGAACAAAUUAAAAUUAAAUAAAUGCAGCAAAGACUAACUCUAGCCUUGAACAGAAUACUUCGAUUCCUUGUAUUCCCAGACCUUAUUUUUACAUGAAAGAACAUUAGUCUUAAAUAAAUAAAGGGGAAAAACAUUUUAAAAACAUUGUUGCAAAAUGCAACAGCAGAGUUGUGCAGCAGGAAAAUGAUGGUCACAUCAGUCUUUGCAACAGUGCUGGGACUUUACACUCUGCUCUUUAUAUUACAUCCUCAGGCAAUGUUUUUUGCAAUAGACACUGGAAGACCUGAAUAUUUUUCCUUGGGUGACAAAGAUGAGAAUUUAAUUUCUUAGUCUUUUCCUCAGCCUUUCCAAACAACAACAACAACAACAACAGAAAUAGCACUUUCCUUUCUAUGGUCAGUUCAGGACCAUCUUUGAGCUUCCAUUAGAUUUGGAGAUUACAAAACAAAACUGUAAUCUGCCUCCAUAAUCUGUGGGCACCAAGUAUAGGUUGGGUGCCAUGAAGUGAUAAUAAUUCUCUAGCCGUAUGUUUUAUGGCUUCUCUUUUCCACCAGGACAAAGUCUACUACUAACCCACUUUUAGGCAGAGCCAAACUUGAUGUCUACCUUGAGAAAUUAUGAGCAAGUUCACAAAACCAGGCAUAAACUAAUUUCAUAAUAUGAAAAGAGGGAAUUACUAAGCACUGGAAAAGUAUCCUUCUUACCCUGAUGGAUUUAUCAGCCCAGGCCAGAGCACACCUGAUCUUUACACAAGUACACAGCAGAAGUUCCUAAGAAAAACCUCCGAAAAUAAGAGUUCCUCACCUCAGGGGGAGCCCAAGAUGUGAUUCCUGUUUUCCUGGGAACUCAGACGAAGACAAAUCCAGAGUUCCCAUCCCAUAUGCCUGCAUGUUGGCUCACCAUAUGGAUGAGCACAUCCUCAUGUAGCAGCCUCUGUGCUACACCCCGUCCAGGGCGAGUCAGGAGCAGUCUGCUCCCAUGGAACAAAACUUACCCUGGAUCUGGAGAGGAAAGUGCCACACUCUGGACACCAGACUAAUGGAAGGCACCACUAGAACCCAAUAAUUGGGGAGCAUUACAUGAAUGUCACAACUGCUUCUGUGAAUACUUGCAGGUCUAAUGUUUAGAUUUAUGCAGUACCGUCUCGUGACUGUUUUGGGUAUCUGGUUCAUUUUAAAGGUUUUUUUCCUCCCAGGACGCUUCACAUCAAAACUCCUACCAACCAACAGAGAUCUCUUAUGCCACUGCCCAAUGGAACCCACUAAGCCCCAUGACUGGACUGAUUUAGAGACAGACUUCAACCAGUGUGGGCAGAACUCCCUGAAACCAGUGGGGAGUUCUGUUUGAAAAAAGGGAAAGGGAUCACAUCUUGCUUGAGACUUCAGCAGAUAUAAUCUUCCCUUUUCCCAAUGUUGGGCCGUUGACUGACAAUGCAGGAUUCCUUGUCUUCCCUAAAAAUAUCCUACAGACUGAAAGAGUAAAUUUCCUGAAUUUCCCUUUUUAAGUUGUAGUCUCCAGUCUAACCUCACUGACCCUCAUUAAAACUCCAAUAAAGACAAUCACUCCUGUAGUCAUUAUCAGAAAUCAUUAUUUGUAUUCAAGUCUUUUAAGAAUCUCUAGAUUUUGCUUUGUGUCAUGAAACCACUACUGGAGACAAGAGUCGGAUAUACUGAAAAAUAAAAAUCAUCAGUGGGAUUUUUCCCUUUUCAUAGU